rnacentral:rRNA from 1 species
CCUACGGGAGGCAGCAGUGGGGAAUAUUGCACAAUGGGGGAAACCCUGAUGCAGCGACGCCGCGUGAGUGAAGAAGUAUUUCGGUACGUAAAGCUCUAUCAGCAGGGAAGAAAAUGACGGUACCUGACUAAGAAGCCACGGCUAACUACGUGCCAGCAGCCGCGGUAAUACGUAGGGGGCAAGCGUGAUCCGGAUUUACUGGGAGUAAAGGGAGCGUAGACGGCAGGGCAAGUCUGGAGGGAAAUCCCAUGGCUUAACCAUGGAACUGCUUUGGCAACUGUGCAGCUAGAGUGCAGGAGAGGUAAGCGGAAUUCCUAGUGUAGCGGUGAAAUGCGUAGAUAUUAGGAGGCACACCAGUGGCGAAGGCGGCUUACUGGACUGUAACUGACGUUGAGGCUCGAAAGCGUGGGGAGCAAACAGGAUUAGAUACCCUUGUAGUC